rfam:Schistosoma mansoni strain Puerto Rico chromosome W, complete genome
ACCCAGCUGACGAGUCCCAAAUAGAAAGCAACGCGCGUCCUGUAU